rnacentral:rRNA from 1 species
AGAGGGUGCAAGCGUUAAUCGGAAUUACUGGGCGUAAAGCGCGCGUAGGUGGUUUGUUAAGUUGGAUGUGAAAGCCCCGGGCUCAACCUGGGAACUGCAUCCAAAACUGGCAAGCUAGAGUACGGUAGAGGGUGGUGGAAUUUCCUGUGUAGCGGUGAAAUGCGUAGAUAUUCGGAAGAACACCAGUGGCGAAGGCGACAUACUGGAUCAUUACUGACGCUGAGGCUCGAAAGCGUGGGGAGCAAACAGGAUUAGAUACCCUGGUAGUCCACGCCGUAAACGAUGUCGACUUGGAGGUUGUGCCCUUGAGGCGUGGCUUCCGGAGCUAACGCGUUAAGUCAACCGCCUGGGGAGU